UCUCCAUUUCACCUGCUCUCUCAUCGGUCAGAGAUGCGAGAGAGUGUGGGAAAUGGGGAGA
rnacentral:pre_miRNA from 1 species